AUGCAGGCUCAAAAGUUUCAAGGUAGUUACAUAGCCGAUUUUUGCGUUGAUAACUUCCAGGAGUUAGUCAAAGUGGCUGUAAUAAUGGAAGCGGAGCAACAAAACGUUGCUGCUCAAAUUAGCAUAAAGAGGAAAAGGGUUUCUCCCUUCAUUGUGGAAGGAAGUAACAUCAAGAGGAGGAUAGUACAAGGAUCUAAAAAGGGAAAGGGUGUUAUGCCUACUCCACCUGCUACCUGUCGAAAGUGUGGAAAGGUCCAUAGUGGAGAAUGCAAAUUUGUAUUGGGGGUAUGCUUCAAAUGUGGUCAGCUUGACCAUAUGAUUCUGGAAUGCCCUCAGAGUACAAAAGGAGGCAGAAAUGCUCAUAACCCUAGUAACAAGUUGAAUAAGAGGCCACCUGCUCAAGCCUGCGUUUACACUAUUAGCCUCGAUGAUAUGGAUGAGGAAGCACCAGGAGUUGAAGAAAUGGAAGUUGUUACUGGUAUUUUUCCUCACAACCAUGAUUGGGAAUUGUUUGAUCGUCUUUCUCCGAGGAAGAGGCGAAACAUAAUCAACUUGAAUUCGGGACAGCUAUUCGAAAUCUUAGUGAAAGACUGGAUUUGUUAUCUCAUGUUUGCUUUUCGUGAAAAAAUACCAAUUGAAGUGGAGGGUUUCUUCAAACAACAAGUAGCUGGGUCAACUAUUCAAUCAAAUGAUAUUGAGCAUGUUUCCCAUCUCUUCUCGAAAAACAAGUGGGCUAUUUCUUUGCAAAAUUGUGCUCAAUUUCAUAUGUGGCAAUUCCGCCAAGAUCUCUUCUUUAGUUGGGGGAAGAAUCCGCACGAAUCGGAUUUUUUGAGGAACAUAUCGAGAGAGAAUUGGAUUUGGUUAGACAAUGUGUGGUUGGUAAACAAGGAUCGGUUUUUUAGCAAGGUACGGAAUGUAUCGUCAAAUAUUCAAUAUGAUUCCACAAGAUCUAGUUUCGUUCAAGUAACGGAUUCUAGCCAAUUGAAAGGAUCUUCUGAUCAAUCCAGAGAUCAUUUCGAUUCCAUUAGUAAUGAGGAUUCGGAAUAUCACACAUUGAUCAAUCAACGAGAGAUUCAACAACUAAAAGAAAGAUCGAUUCUUUGGGAUCCUUCCUUUCUUCAAACGGAACGAACAGAGAUAGAAUCAGACCGAUUCCCUAAAUGCCUUUCUGGAUAUUCCUCAAUGUCCCGGCUAUUUACGGAACGUGAGAAGCAGAUGAAUAAUCAUCUGCUUCCGGAAGAAAUCGAAGAAUUUCUUAGGAAUCCUACAAGAUCCAUUCGUUCUUUUUUCUCUGACAGAUGGUCAGAACUUCAUCUGGGUUCGAAUCCUACUGAGAGGUCCAUUAGAGAUCAGAAAUUGUUGAAGAAAGAACAAGAUGUUUCUUUUGUUCCUUCCAGGCGAUCGGAAAAGAAAGAAAUAGUUAAUAUAUUCAAGAUAAUUACUUAUUUACAAAAUACCGUCUCAAUUCAUCCUAUUUCAUCAGAUCCGGGAUGUGAUAUGGUUCCGAAGGAUGAACUGGAUAUGGACAGUUCCAAUAAGAUUUCAUUCUUGAACAAAAAUCCAUUUUUUGAUUUAUUUCAUCUAGUUCGUGACCGGAACAGGGGGGGAUACACGUUACACCACGAUUUUGAAUCAGAAGAGAGAUUUCAAGAAAUGGCGGAUAUAUUCCUCUAUCAAUAACCGAGCCGGAUCUGGCGUAUCAUAAGGGAUUUACCCUUUCUAUUGAUUCCUGCAGAUUGGAUCAAAAACAAUUCUUGAAUGAGGUAUUCAACUCCAGGGAUGAAUCGAAAAAGAAAUAUUUAUUGGUUCUACCUCCUAUUUUUUAUGAAGAGAAUGAAUCCUUUUAUCGAAGGAUCAGAAAAAAAUGGGUCCGGACCUCCUGCGGGAAUGAUUUGGAAGAUCCAAAACCAAAAAUAGUGGUAUUUGCUAGCAACAACAUAAUGGAGGCAGUCAAUCAAUAUAGAUUGAUCCGAAAUCUGAUUCAAAUCCAAUAUAACACCUGUGGGUACAUAAUAAAUGUAUUGAAUCGAUUCUUUUUAAUGAAUAGAUCCGAUCGCAACUUCGAAUAUGGAAUUCAAAGGGAUCAAAUAGGAAAUGAUACUCUGAAUCAUAGAACUAUAAUGAAAUAUACGAUCAACCAACAUUUAUCAAAUUUGAAAAAGAGCCAGAAGAAAUGGUUCGAUCCUCGUAUUUUUAUUUCUCGAACCGAGAGAUCUAUGAAUCGGGAUCCUAAUGCAUAUAGAUACAAAUGGUCCAAUGGGAGCAAGAAUUUCCAGGAACAUUUGGAACAUUUCAUUUCUGAACAGAAGAGCCGUUUUCAUUUUCAAGUAGUGUUCGAUCGAUUACGUAUUAAUCAAUAUUCGAUUGAUUGGUCUGAGGUUAUCGACAAAAAAGAUUUGUCUAAGUCACUUCCUUUCUUUUUGUCCAAGUUACUUCUUUUUUUGUCCAAGUUUCUUCUCUUUUUGUCUAACUCACUUCCCUUUUUCUUUGUGAGUUUCGG